GGGCCGGUGGAUCAGCCUGGAAAUGAAGGGGAAAAAUUUCCUCGUCAACAGAAUGAUCGUCCGCUUGGCAAACUGCAAAGUUCAUCCAAAUUGCGGGAGGUCGCGGGUUCAAAUCCCGCCCGGUCCA
rnacentral:tRNA from 1 species